CGCGGGGUGGAGCAGUGGCAGCUCGUCGGGCUCAUAACCCGAAGGUCAGGGGUUCGAAUCCCUUCCCCGCUACCA
rnacentral:tRNA from 1 species